AUACUUACCUAGACAGGCUCUAUGAAUGAUCAAUAAGGCUCAUGGUCUAAAUCAAUGGUUCACAUUGCACAUAGUGAGUGCUUUGAUUUACCCUCUUCCCUUUAUUGGAGAGUGAACAUCAUAAUUUGUGUUAGAGGGAAAUACAUGUUCGCGCGACCCUU
rfam:Triticum aestivum genome assembly, contig: Triticum_aestivum_CS42_TGACv1_scaffold_641626_T_3B-0.302343_1AL-0.163962